rnacentral:snoRNA from 1 species
UUGCUGUUGAUUUGUUUAUUAUAACUUUCAAGUGGGCGAUUUCGGCAAACAAUGCUGAUUGAUUACCACAACGUCGUAGAUUAAACCGCCCUUCGGGAGGCAGUAUCAGAUAUAUUCCAUAUUCGCUUUGGAGCCGCUCAGGCAAUCACCAUUGGGAUAAACCAUAUCUUGUACAGUU